ensembl:lncRNA
AUGCAAAUGGCAUGUGCUCCGUUUGCCUCCAGGACCUGCAGGAGCACAGCUGGCCUCAGUGUCAACAGGAUUCCUCAUGUGGGACGGAUCUGGAAGAAUCCAGGGCUCCGGCUGCACAUCCAGACGAAUCCAGCAACCACAAAGGACAUGGUCUGGGCUGCUACAGAACCAGCAGAGGGACAGAGGCAGCUGGAAGCGUCCAAGCAGACGGUUAGAGAUCAAGAGACUGAGCUGAAGGAAAUCCAAAAGGCAUCUCGUGGACUCAAGUGUUCAACCUAAACUGCACCUUUGUGGUCAGAAUUUCCAUACAUCCAAAAGCAACAAGUACAGACUGUUUGACUGGAAAAAAACCUUGCGGAGAAAACCAGUCAGUGACGUACAGUAAGAUCUGGUGGAUUACAGCAUCUUAAUGUAGAGCUGGUAAGUGGGCUGAGGUUGAAAGUAGUUCCAUAUGGGACCUGUACCUACCUGUAAAACCCCCCUGAAGAUGCUAAAGGAAUAUGAAGAUAGAAAACAAACAACAACUUGUAUUUCAGUGCUUGUGCAUUCCCUCCAAGACACUCUGCGUUCCCUCACAAAACCAUAUGCAAAGUUUCUCAAGUAAAUGCAAAAGUUUUGGGAGUGACCUCCAAGUUUUGUAAGGGGACACAAAACCUUUGCGUGCGGACACUACAUUUCUCAGGGGAACGGAAAAGCACUGAAACACAAUUCUUCCUCUUAUCUCAACAGUCAUAUCCUAUGUCUUUUCAAGACAAAUCAAAUCUAGUUUAGCUUUAGCCCUAAUGAAACACACUUGAAAACUCUAACCCAAGUCUUCAGGAUUACUGGAAAUCUACAGUUUGUGUGAUCAGUGUUGAGGCUAAAAAGGCUUGCACCAGGGACUCCGUGGUUUUUAACAGAACACUUGGGUUUUACAAAAUCCUUCAUGUCUUCCACCACUUGCAGAAAUGUCUGCAGAUUCCCAAAUAACCAACCCAUUCUGUCACAUCUCUGAAUAAAAAUGAUGGAAAUUAAAGCA